UAGGUGAUGUCUUCUUAAGGUUUAUCUUCAUUUAAGAAAACAUUGAAACUGGGAAAUAGGUGAGUGUAACAGCAAUUCCUAUACUGCCCCCGCAACGGUAAGUAAGCGUGGAUUCAUAAUACAUGCCACUGAAUUUAUUUCGGGAAGGCCAUGAAUCAAAUCUUACGAGUCCGGAGACCGGCCUAGUAACUCACACAGAA
rnacentral:ncRNA from 2 species